rnacentral:lncRNA from 1 species
UGGAAUCCUGCUGCUCUCCUUGGUAUUGAAACUGCACUCCUUGGUAGGUGAACUUGGUCUUAGCUGGAUUUCUUGUUGAUCUUCUGGGGGAGGGGCCUGUUGUAGUGAUUAUCAAGUGUCUUUGGCCCAGGCGGAAUUGCACCGCCCUUACCAGGGCCCAGGCUGAGUAAUCCACUCGGGUUUGCUUUCAGGAGCUUUUGUUCCCUGAGCACUUUCCGUAGAGUUCUGGAGAACAAGAAUACAAAUGGCGGCCUCCUGGUCUUUGGCCCAGAGGAGCCGAGAGCUCGGGCCCCACUCCUCUGUGCACCCUCAGACAACAGCGCCCAGUAACUCCCGUCUGCCUGACCUCCAGCCAUGCUCCGAGCUCACCGAGCCUGCGACUGUUUCAAGAAUUGCUGUUCUUCUUCUCUUCGAUCUGCCGAUGGAUUUGCAGGUAUUUGCAAUCUUUAGAUAAGCUAUCUAGCUGAUCUCCUGCUAGCUGAAGUAGUCUCAGCCUGCUACUUCUCCACCAUCUUGACUCCUCCCCCCUUGUUUCUGUAUCUUGACUAUUGUGAAUAAUGCUUCAGUGAACAUGGGAAAGCAGAUAUCUCCUCAGUAUCCUUUGGA